GUCAGUUAUAUUACAAAAAACAUAUACAUUUCAUAUAUUACAAUUAAUGUCAAGUGACAUUACUGUCUCAUAUCUCUUUACUUCAGAUUUCUUGCUCCGCUGUCUGUGUGUCAUUACAACUGACCCUGCUGGGCUCCGCACACAAAUCUCUCUCAAUA